GACGAACGCUGGCGGCGUGCCUAAUACAUGCAAGUCGAGCGAAGCGGCGGAGGGGUGAGAAACGCGUGGGUAACCUGCACUUAAGGCUGGGAUACCAUUUGGAAACAGAUGCUAAUAACGGAUACUAAAGGAUGGACCUGGGGUGCAUUAGCUAGGUGGUAAGUUAACGGCUUACCAAGGCGAUGAUGCAUAGCCGAGUUGGGAGACUGAUCGGCCACAUUGGGACUGUGACACGGCCCAAACUCCUACGGGAGGCAGCAGUAGGGAAUCUUCCACAAUGGACGAAAGUCUGAUGGAGCAACGCCGCGUGAGUGAAGAAGGUUUUCGGAUCGUAAGGCUCUGUUGUUGGUGAAGCGGUAAUCAACCAGAAAGGCACGGCUAACUACGUGCCAGCAGCCGCGGUAAUAC
rnacentral:rRNA from 1 species